rnacentral:rRNA from 1 species
CUGGCGGCGUGCUUAACACAUGCAAGUCGAACGAAGCGCUUGAGAAGAUUUCUUCGGAAUGAAACUUAAGUGACUGAGUGGCGGACGGGUGAGUAACGCGUGGGUAACCUGCCUCAUACGGGGGGAUAACAGUCAGAAAUGACUGCUAAUACCGCAUAAGCGCACAGUACCGCAUGGUACGGUGUGAAAGACUCCGGUGGUAUGGGAUGGACCCGCGUCUGAUUAGCUAGUUGGUGGGGUAACGGCCUACCAAGGCGACGAUCAGUAGCCGGCCUGAGAGGGCGACCGGCCACAUUGGGACUGAGACACGGCCCAAACUCCUACGGGAGGCAGCAGUGGGGAAUAUUGCACAAUGGGGGAAACCCUGAUGCAGCGACGCCGCGUGAGCGAAGAAGUAUUUCGGUAUGUAAAGCUCUAUCAGCAGGGAAGAAAAUGACGGUACCUGACUAAGAAGCCCCGGCUAACUACGUGCCAGCAGCCGCGGUAAUACGUAGGGGGCAAGCGUUAUCCGGAUUUACUGGGUGUAAAGGGAGCGUAGACGGACUGGCAAGUCUGAUGUGAAAACCCGGGGCUCAACCCCGGGACUGCAUUGGAAACUGUCAGUCUAGAGUGUCGGAGGGGUAAGUGGAAUUCCUAGUGCAGCGGUGAAAUGCGUAGAUAUUAGGAGGAACACCAGUGGCGAAGGCGGCUUACUGGACGAUAACUGACGUUGAGGCUCGAAAGCGUGGGGAGCAAACAGGAUUAGAUACCCUGGUAGUCCACGCCGUAAACGAUAA